rnacentral:tRNA from 1 species
AGCGAUAUAGUGUAAAGGUUUGCACGUCAGUCUCAUGAACUGAAUGAUCGGGUUCAAGUCCUAAUGUCGCUA